rnacentral:tRNA from 1 species
GGGGGUGUGAUCAGGCCCGCACGACGGUGUCGGCACGAUGAAUCCGCGCAGGUCAACGAACAUCCGGCCAUGCAAGCCAUCGCUUCCCAAGCUGAGAGCGCGAGUUCGAUUCUCGUCACCCGCGCCA